GGUUAAGCGACUAAGCGUACACGGUGGAUGCCUAGGCAGUCAGAGGCGAUGAAGGGCGUGCUAAUCUGCGAUAAGCGUCGGUAAGCUGAUAUGAAGCGUUAUACCCGACGAUACCCGAAUGGGGAAACCCAGUGUGUUUCGACACACUAUCAUGACAUGAAUACAUAGUGUCAUGAGGCGAACCGGGGGAACUGAAACAUCUCAGUACCCCGAGGAAAAGAAAUCAACCGAGAUUCCCCCAGUAGCGGCGAGCGAACGGGGAGGAGCCCAGAACCUGAAUCAGUUUGUGUGUUAGUGGAAGCGUCUGGAAAGUCGCACAGUAAAGGGUGAUAGUCCCGUACACAAAAAUGCACAAGUUGUGAGUUCGAUGAGUAGGGCGGGACACGUGACAUCCUGUCUGAAUAUGGGGGGACCAUCCUCCAAGGCUAAAUACUCCUGACUGACCGAUAGUGAACCAGUACCGUGAGGGAAAGGCGAAAAGAACCCCGGCGAGGGGAGUGAAAUAGAACCUGAAACCGUGUACGUACAAGCAGUGGGAGCCUACUUGUUAGGUGACUGCGUACCUUUUGUAUAAUGGGUCAGCGACUUAUAUUCUGUAGCAAGGUUAACCGUAUAGGGGAGCCGCAGGGAAACCGAGUCUUAACUGGGCGUUAAGUUGCAGGGUAUAGACCCGAAACCCGGUGAUCUAGCCAUGGGCAGGUUGAAGGUUGGGUAACACUAACUGGAGGACCGAACCGACUAAUGUUGAAAAAUUAGCGGAUGACUUGUGGCUGGGGGUGAAAGGCCAAUCAAACCGGGAGAUAGCUGGUUCUCCCCGAAAGCUAUUUAGGUAGCGCCUCGUGAAUUCAUCUUCGGGGGUAGAGCACUGUUUCGGCUAGGGGGUCAUCCCGACUUACCAACCCGAUGCAAACUACGAAUACCGAAGAAUGUUAUCACGGGAGACACACGGCGGGUGCUAACGUUCGUCGUGAAGAGGGAAACAACCCAGACCGCCAGCUAAGGUCCCAAAGUCAUGGUUAAGUGGGAAACGAUGUGGGAAGGCAUAGACAGCCAGGAUGUUGGCUUAGAAGCAGCCAUCAUUUAAAGAAAGCGUAAUAGCUCACUGGUCGAGUCGGCCUGCGCGGAAGAUGUAACGGGGCUAAACCAUGCACCGAAGCUGCGGCAGCGACACUUAAGUGUUGUUGGGUAGGGGAGCGUUCUGUAAGCCUGCGAAGGUGGCCUGUGAGGGCUGCUGGAGGUAUCAGAAGUGCGAAUGCUGACAUAAGUAACGAUAAUGCGGGUGAAAAACCCGCACGCCGGAAGACCAAGGGUUCCUGUCCAACGUUAAUCGGGGCAGGGUGAGUCGACCCCUAAGGCGAGGCUGAAAAGCGUAGUCGAUGGGAAACAGGUUAAUAUUCCUGUACUCGGUGUUACUGCGAAGGGGGGACGGAGAAAGCUAGGUUAUCCGGGCGACGGUUGUCCCGGUUUAAGCGUGAAGGUGGAUGACUUUGGUAAAUCCGGGUCAUCAUUAACACUGAGGCGUGAUGACGAGUCACUACGGUGAUGAAGUAACCGAUGCUACGCUUCCAGGAAAAGCCUCUAAGCUCCAGGUAACAUCAAAUCGUACCCCAAACCGACACAGGUGGUCAGGUAGAGAAUACUCAGGCGCUUGAGAGAACUCGGGUGAAGGAACUAGGCAAAAUGGUGCCGUAACUUCGGGAGAAGGCACGCUGAUGGUAGGUGAAGUGACUUGCUCAUGGAGCUGAAAUCAGUCGAAGAUACCAGCUGGCUGCAACUGUUUAAUAAAAACACAGCACUGUGCAAACACGAAAGUGGACGUAUACGGUGUGACGCCUGCCCGGUGCCGGAAGGUUAAUUGAUGGGGUCAGCCGCAAGGCGAAGCUCUUGAUCGAAGCCCCGGUAAACGGCGGCCGUAACUAUAACGGUCCUAAGGUAGCGAAAUUCCUUGUCGGGUAAGUUCCGACCUGCACGAAUGGCGUAAUGAUGGCCAGGCUGUCUCCACCCGAGACUCAGUGAAAUUGAACUCGCUGUGAAGAUGCAGUGUACCCGCGGCAAGACGGAAAGACCCCGUGAACCUUUACUAUAGCUUGACACUGAACCUUGAGCCUUGAUGUGUAGGAUAGGUGGGAGGCUUUGAAGUGUGGACGCCAGUCUGCAUGGAGCCAACCUUGAAAUACCACCCUUUAAUGUUUGAUGUUCUAACGUGGACCCGUGAUCCGGGUUGCGGACAGUGUCUGGUGGGUAGUUUGACUGGGGCGGUCUCCUCCCAAAGCGUAACGGAGGAGCACGAAGGUUAGCUAAUCCUGGUCGGACAUCAGGAGGUUAGUGCAAAGGCAUAAGCUAGCUUGACUGCGAGAGUGACAGCUCGAGCAGGUGCGAAAGCAGGUCUUAGUGAUCCGGUGGUUCUGAAUGGAAGGGCCAUCGCUCAACGGAUAAAAGGUACUCCGGGGAUAACAGGCUGAUACCGCCCAAGAGUUCAUAUCGACGGCGGUGUUUGGCACCUCGAUGUCGGCUCAUCACAUCCUGGGGCUGAAGUAGGUCCCAAGGGUAUGGCUGUUCGCCAUUUAAAGUGGUACGCGAGCUGGGUUUAGAACGUCGUGAGACAGUUCGGUCCCUAUCUGCCGUGGGCGUUGGAAGAUUGAGAGGGGUUGCUCCUAGUACGAGAGGACCGGAGUGAACGCACCACUGGUGUACGGGUUGUGAUGCCAAUUGCAUUGCCCGGUAGCUAAGUGCGGAAGAGAUAACCGCUGAAAGCAUCUAAGCGGGAAACUUGCCUCGAGAUGAGUCUUCCCUGGGCACUUGAUGCCCCUGAAGGGCCGUUGAAGACGACGACGUAGAUAGGCUGGGUGUGUAAGCGUAGCGAUACGUUGAGCUAACCAGUACUAAUGACCCGAGAGGCUUAACCUU
rnacentral:rRNA from 1 species